rnacentral:sRNA from 1 species
UACCGUCCUCGCCAGGGGCUUUGCGCCUUC